rnacentral:rRNA from 1 species
UACGGAGGGUGCAAGCGUUAUCCGGAUUCACUGGGUUUAAAGGGUGCGUAGGCGGCUAUGCCAGUCAGUGGUGAAAGCCUUCAGCUUAACUGAAGAAUUGCCAUUGAUACUACAUAGCUUGAAUACGAUUGAUGUGGGUGGAAUGCAUCAUGUAGCGGUGAAAUGCUUAGAUAUGAUGCAGAACUCCAAUUGCGAAGGCAGCUCACAAAAUCGUCAUUGACGCUGAGGCACGAAAGCGUGGGUAGCGAACAGG